UCACCCCUCAAGCCCCCCGGCUUGGUGUUGGAGCCUCCGUUUCGGUACGGAUCUCUCAAAGACAAUGACGGCGCCCUCGUGGUUUCCCGGUACACUGAGCUUCCUAACCGAGCACGUACUGACGGAUCUCCGGGGCAGACGGUCUCCCUCCGCGAGGAGAAAAUUCUUCAA
rnacentral:misc_RNA from 2 species